rnacentral:rRNA from 1 species
CCUUGAGACCGAAGUGAUUGAUACCCUGCUUCCAGGAAAAGCCACUAAGCUUCAGUCUAGGAUUGACCGUACCGCGAACCGACACAGGUGGGCAGGUAGAAGAUACUAAGGCGCUUGAGAGAACUCAGGAGAAGGAACUCGGCAAAUUGAUACCGUAACUUCGGGAGAAGGUAUGCCCCUGUAGCUUGUAGGAGAACAUCCGAAGGGCGACGGGGCCGCAGAGAAUCGGUGGCUGCGACUGUUUAUUAAAAACACAGCACUCUGCAAACACGAAAGUGGACGUAUAGGGUGUGACGCCUGCCCGGUGCCGGAAGGUUAAGUGAUGGGGUGCAAGCUCUUGAUCGAAGCCCCGGUAAACGGCGGCCGUAACUAUAACGGUCCUAAGGUAGCGAAAUUCCUUGUCGGGUAAGUUCCGACCUGCACGAAUGGCGUAACGAUGGCCACACUGUCUCCUCCUGAGACUCAGCGAAGUUGAAGUGUUUGUGAAGAUGCAAUCUCCCCGCGGCUAGACGGAAAGACCCCAUGAACCUUUACUGUAGCUUUGCAUUGGACUUUGACGGGACUUGUGUAGGAUAGGUGGGAGGCGAUGAGACCAGGACGCUAGUUCUGGUGGAGCCGUCCUUGAAAUACCACCCUGGUGUCGUUGAGGUUCUAACCUAGGUCCAUCAUCUGGAUCGGGGACCGUGCAUGGUAGGCAGUUUGACUGGGGCGGUCUCCUCCCAAAAGGUAACGGAGGAGUACGAAGGUCUUCUAGGUACGGUCGGACAUCGUACUGAUAGUGCAAUGGCAAAAGAAGGCUUGACUGCGAGACCGACAAGUCGAGCAGGUGCGAAAGCAGGUCAUAGUGAUCCGGUGGUUCUGUAUGAAAGGGCCAUCGCUCAACGGAUAAAAGGUACUCUGGGGAUAACAGGCUGAUUCCGCCCAAGAGUUCACAUCGACGGCGGAGUUUGGCACCUCGAUGUCGGCUCAUCACAUCCUGGGGCUGUAGCCGGUCCCAAGGGUAUGGCUGUUCGCCAUUUAAAGUGGUACGUGAGCUGGGUUUAAAACGUCGUGAGACAGUUUGGUCCCUAUCUGCCGUGGGCGCUGGAUAUUCGAGGGGGCCUGCUCCUAGUACGAGAGGACCGGAGUGGACGGAUCUCUGGUGUACCGGUUGUGACGCCGGUCGCAUCGCCGGGUAGCUAAAUCCGGAAGAGAUAACCGCUGAAAGCAUCUAAGCGGGAAACUCGCCUCAAGAUGAGAUAUCCCUGGGGGCUCGACCCCCCUGAAGGGUCGUCGAAGACCACGACGUUGAUAGGUCGGGUGUGGAAGCG